GGGCUAAAUCCCGCCCAUUUAGGUUAUUUGAUGGGCUAAAUUCGGCCCAUGUUGUCCACUCCAAAAUGGCGCGAAGAAGGUAGGGUCGGAAUAAGCAAGCCGCAGAGUUCGAAGAGCUCAAUUCAAGGAAAAAUGAACCCACGGCGACGAUUGAAGAGAUAACAAUUACAGUCCGAUCAGAACCCAAAACUCUUAUCGCCAAUUCACAGUUCUUCCGGCCGCCCUGUCCAACAUAUAUGUGCGCAGGCAGGUAUGUUUCACGAGCACAAGUUCUUGUUCUUAUGCCGCUAAUAUAUAUUCCUAGGAGAUGGAUUUUCUGAAUCAAUGCUCGAGGAACGUUGUACUAAACUCCGCUCUAAUUAUUCCUAAACCGAAAGUUGCCGACGUGUAGAAUGCUGAGAAACACAACCAUCAAAACAAUCAAGAUAGCAAUAAAAACGGCUGAGGAUUGAAGUUGUAACUCAUUCCAAAUAUGUUGCACCCUGGAUUUUUCUACUGAUGACAAAUUACUAUAUCUGGUGUUAUAGUGCACAUGUCUUGUCGGCUUGGGAUUGGGGUAAUCCCACAGAUAUGGAAACACAAAGAUCAUAUUUGGAUGAAGCUUUUGAUGUUACAGUUCUUCGCCCUGCCUAAUGUUCUGAUUUGUAUUUUGAUAUAUUAUGAAUUAGGCAGACACCGGAUUGAACUUGAAAUGCAACAUGAUGGUGACAACAUGAUAGAAAUUUUGGAGUGGUCAGCGAGGAGCAAGCCUUCGACACUUCGUCUCGGUUGGAGAAUCAGAGCCUUCCAACAAAGCUCUUUUUCUGCUUCCACAGUUGGUAAUGUUGCUGCUACGAUUGAAUGUCACUGGAGAAUCCCGGAGGAGCUGCGGUGGUGGCGUUGAAGGAACUGUCACCGGUGGGAUCUCAAAGGAUUCAAGUGGCGGAGGUGGGUGUCUCCACUCAGGAAGAGGUCCGGCAACAAGCAGAGUCUGAAGCAGAGGGCCUGCUUUCAUCACUGCUUCCAAGAGCUUGCCUUUCUCAGGCAAUGGCUUCUCUGAAACCAAUUCGACCGCAACCUGCGACGGUGCUUGUAGCGGCAGAGAUGUA